CAGUUAGAACACUAGUAUAUUGGCUUCCACACAUGCAAGUCGAGGGGCAUCAGGAAGAAAGCUUGCUUUCUUUGCUGGCGACCGGCGCAGAUGGGUGAGUAACACGUAUCCAACCUGCCCUUUACUCGGGGAUAGCCUUUCGAAAGAAAGAUUAAUACCCGAUAGUAUAAUGAUUCCGCAUGUUUCCUUAUUAAAGGAUUCCGGUAAAGGAUAGGAUGCGUUCCAUUAGGUUGUUGGUGAGGUAACGGCUCACCAAGCCUUCGAUGGAUAGGGUAUCUGAGAGGAAGGUCCCCCACAUUGGAACUGAGACACGGUCCAAACUCCUACGGGAGGCAGCAGUGAGGAAUAUUGGUCAAUGGGCGGUCGUGNAAACCAGCCAAGUAGCGUGAACAAUGAAGGCUCUAUGGGUCGUAAACUUCUUUUAUAUAAGAAUAAAGUGCAGUAUGUAUACUGUUUUGUAUGUAUUAUAUGAAUAAGGAUCGGCUAACUCCGUGCCUAUAGCCGCGGUUUUACGGAGGAUCCGAGCGUUAUCCGGAUUUAUUGGGUUUAAAGGGAGCGUAGGUGGCCUGGUAAGUCAGUUGUGAAAGUUUGCGGCUCAACCGUAAAAUUCAGAGUUGAUACUGUCAGUCUUAAGUACAGUAGAGGUGGGCGGCCUUACGUGGUGUAGCGGUGAAAUGCUUAGAUAUCACGAAGAACUCCGAUUGCGAAGCAGCUCACUGGACUGCAACUGACACUGAUGCUCGAAAGUGUGGGUAUCAAACAGGAUUAGACCCCUGGUAGUCCACACAGUAAACGAUGAAUACCGCUGUUUGCGAUAUACAGUAAGCGGCCAAGCGAAACNAUUAAGUAUUCCACCUGGGGAGUACGCCGACAACGUGAAGAUUCAAAGGAAUUGACGGGGGCCCGCACAAGCGGAGGAACAUGUGGUUUAAUUCGAUGAUACGCGAGGAACCUUACCCGGGCUUAAAUUGCAGUGGAAUGAUGUGGAAACAUGUCAGUGAGCAAUCACCGCUGUGAAGGUGCUGCAUGGUUGUCGUCAGCUCGUGUAGAGGUGUCGGCUUAAGUGCCAUAACGAGCGCAACCCUUAUCUUUAGUUACUACCAGGUCAUGCUGAGGACUCUGGAGAGACUGCCGUCGUAAGAUGUGAGGAAGGUGGGGAUGACUUAUAAUCAGCACGGCCCUUACGUCGGGCUACACACGUGUUACAAUGGGGGGUACAGAAGGCAGCUAGCGGGUGACCGUAUGCUAAUCCCAAAAGCCUCUCUCAGUUCGGAUCGAAGUCUGCAACCCGACUUCGUGAAGCUGGAUUCGCUAGUAAUCGCGCAUCAGUACACGGCGCGGUGAAUACGUUCCCGGGCCUUGUCACACCGCAAAACUAGCCAUGGGACCCGGGGAUACCUUACAGUACGUAACCGCAAGUUCGUCCUUAACAG
rnacentral:rRNA from 1 species